GCCCCAGGUCAGCGGGACACUCUCCCCACCGCUCUCCUAAAGCGGGUGUCGCAGGUUCGAAUCCUGCCGGGGGCA
rnacentral:tRNA from 1 species